UAACGCGUGGGUAACCUGCCUCAUACAGGGGGAUAACAGUUAGAAAUGACUGCUAAUACCGCAUAAGCGCACAGUGCUGCAUGGCACAGUGUGAAAAACUCCGGUGGUAUGAGAUGGACUCGCGUCUGAUUAGCUAGUUGGUGGGGUAACGGCCUACCAAGGCGACGAUCAGUAGCCGGCCUGAGAGGGUGAACGGCCACAUUGGGACUGAGACACGGUCCAA
rnacentral:rRNA from 1 species